UACAGAGGUGGCAAGCGUUGUUCGGAAUUACUGGGCGUAAAGGGCGCGUAGGCGGUCUUGUAAGUCUUGUGUGAAAUCCCUCGGCUUAACUGAGGAACUGCACGGGAUACUGCGAGACUUGAGAUCGGGAGAGGGAAGCGGAAUUCCGGGUGUAGCGGUGAAAUGCGUAGAUAUCCGGAGGAACACCGGUGGCGAAGGCGGCUUCCUGGACCGACACUGACGCUGAGGCGCGAAAGCUAGGGGAGCAAACGGG
rnacentral:rRNA from 3 species